rnacentral:lncRNA from 10 species
CGCGCCCACCUGUGGCCCUCUUGGCCCUUCUGCCCGUGCCUGGCCCCGCCGGGUCGCUCCCGAGCUCCGCGUUUCGUUCGCCGACCCCUGGAAGACUGCCUGGAGGCCCGGGCGCCACCCAACCACUGGCUAGGCCGACACUUUGCGCGGACCCUGGGUGUAAAAGGUCCCCGGGUCUCUGGUCCCGACGGAGCUGUGAGGGAGAUCAACCACGCCCCCUCCGUGGGCACCGUGGCGGCAGGGAAGGAAAAGGGCUCUGGGUCUCGACUCUCUUCGGGUUAAGAACCGACGGGGUUUAUUCUAUGCAAGGUGUUAUUAACUCCAACUCUCCCUUUCGUUCAUUCAUUCCAUAUAUGUUGAACGACAACUUAGUGCCAAAUGCCGGCAUGCUGAAACUCAGAGAGGGAAGAUGUCUUGCAAGUACAGCAGCCACACCCAGGCAGGUCCCGUGCUCUCUCUUAGUUUAUCAGUGUUCCCUGACAUGUAGUGGUGACAUUGUUAAACACCUGCAGUUUCGCUCUUGUUCCCUGGGCUGCAGUGCAGUGGCACCAUCUCGGCUCACCGCAACCUCCGCCUCCCAAGUUCAAGCGAUUCUCCUGCCUCAGCCUCCCCAGUAUCUGGGAUUACAGUAAAAUUAAAACAGGCACAAUGAUAUCCUGGAUGACAAGAGCUGGAGGCUGUCAUUCUAACAAUGUAGUGAGACUGGCUGUCUUGUCUCAUGCCCACCCCUGGAAACAUGCGCAGGAACUCAAAGCACCUAGCACAGAGGAAGUGUCUGGUUGUUUUAAAGGAAAAACAAAACCAAAAAAAGCACCUCCUGCUCUGACCACCCCUAUUUCCAGUUUUCCCUUUUGGCACAGCAAAGAUGACCUUGGGACUGAGGUGGAACCAUGUAAUUCUUCGUAAUCCCAGAGUCAGGCAGACCUGGGAGAUAACAUCCAUCUCGAAGGAAGAUCUGGCCUGAAGAGCAGUCACUCUUGCCUGGCAUGCAGAGAAUGCCAAAUCAUAUUAAUGACUGGCCAGAAUGAAGUGCGUGACCUCAUCACUCCAUAACUGACAGGAAACAACUGCUAGGGCAAGAAAAAAGGGUCUCCAGUGAGUAUUCUUGUCCACACACAUCCCCACUCACGUUCCUGGACCACUGCAUCUAACUGCCGCAGCAGCUAAUGAACCUUCUGGAAUAAAGGACCAGUUUCUUAAGAAGGGAUUGAGACCUCCAGUGGCCUCCCACAUUGUUUCCGGCAAGAAUUUAAAAAUUAUUUGUAACAUAUAGUAAUAAAAACUAACCACAGGCUGGGCGCAGUGGCUCACGCCUGUAAUCCCAGCACUUUGGGAGGCUGAGGCAGGUGGAUCACCUGAGGUCAGGAGUUCGAGACCAGCCUGACCAAUAUGGUGAAACCCUGUUUCUCCUAAAAAUACAAAAAUUAGCUGGGCAUGGUGGUGGGCGCCUGUAAUCUCAGCUACUCAGGAGGCUGAAACAGGAGAACUGCUUGAAUCUGGGAGGUAGAUGUUGCAGUGAGCCGAUAUCGCGCCAUUGCACUCCAGCCUGGGCAAUGACUCCGUCUCAAAAAAAAAAAAAAAAAAAAAAAACUAACCACAGCUACUAUUUAUGAACUCUAGUGCCACACCCCAUUUCUUCCCAGGUUUCACCCCCUCUUCCCAGGUUUCACCCACCCCAACCAGUGUUGUUUGCAACACUUCAGCUUCUCUCCUCACGAAGCACGUCUCCAGAGACGCCUCUUCCGCAACUUCCCAGGGAAGCCAUUUCUGCCUGGACCCACCACAGCUCCCAACCUGUCACGCACCCCUGGAGGGUUUUGCUCUGUAAUCCUGAUUUAGAAAUCCUCUUAUAUGAAACCACUGUAAUCCACAUCUGGUUAGACAAUUGGAAAAGUUCAUUGAAAGGAGAAAUAAUAAAAAUGGCAUCCAUCCCUUAAAUGUUGUAUGCCAACGUAAAACACAUUCGACAAUGACCCUGGGCUAAGGCUCUACCUUACAGAGAAACCUGUAUCGGUGUUCCCCUCCAUUUUCCUUACAUAAACCAACCAAAAAUCUUCAGUUGUUCCGUUCUCUGUCUCUCUCCCUCUCCACACCCACCUUCCCUCUUCCUCUCUCCCUCCCUCCCUCUCUCUUUCUCUCUUUUUUGAGACAGAGUUUCACUCUGUCACCCAGGCUGGAGUGCAGCGGCUAGAUCUUGGUUCACUGCAGCCUCCACCACUCCCCCCACUUCCCCCCCGCCGCCCCUGCCCCCACCGCAGCCUCCCAGGUGGCUGGGACUACAGGCCACCACGCCCACUAAUUUUUGUAUUUUUUCUAUAGAGACGGGGUUUCAUCAUGUUGCCCAGACUGGUCUCAAACUCUUGGGCUCAAGCAAUCCUCUCACCUCAGCCUCCCGGUGCUGGGAUUAUAGGCGUGAACCAUCGCGUCCGGCCUCCCAAAUCUUUUACAGUUGUCUUGUUCACUUCUCAUUCAGCAGCAUUUUGAGUUGGGAGGGGUAACAACUCACCUUAAUCAAGUCUCUCUAAAGCAUUCAACUUAGUUUUACUAGGUUCAUUUCUUGUAGCUCAUUGGUUUAACUAAUAGUUCCCCAAAUCACAUCCUACCAGUAUAAAAGCACAACUGGUAUAAACACGUUUGGGAACACACAUAACUCAAGUAUCAGGAUGUAAGAGCGAGAGCAUGGGGAGAGUUAAGAAUUUCUCACAGACUGAUUCCCUCCCACAUUCAUCCCUGGUGUGUUUAUCCGUGUUAGGGCUGUUCUGAUGAAAGUCUUGUAGGACUUGGCAGCAAGAUGGGAAAGAUCCAUGGAAGUCCAUUGCUCAUAGCUGAUGAUGAUCUCUCAUUGCUGAGCUUAGGGUUGAAAAAGGAGUGCCAGGUCCUUUGAAAUCAAGAAGAAUUUAUGAAUCACCUUUCAUUUAUGGAGCCCUUAGCUCAAAGCUCUAAAGUUAGUCUUUUCUCAAGAUUAUAUCCUAUUUGGGAAUGCUCAUAAUGGUCCAAUCACCAUUUGUGAAAACUUACUGUGUACCAGCAAUAAACACUCUUCUACAUAGACAAUCUCAUUCUAAUAUAAUUUCUGUGCACGUUAUAGAUUCUAUUUCUGAAACAGCCCUAUGUGGUAGUUUUAUUACUAUCCUCAUUUUCACCCAACAAAUCUGAGGCACUGAGAGGUUAAGGACCUGGACUGAAGCUGCACAGCUAGAAGGUGACAGA